ACCUUGAAACGUCGGUUCCUUUACGAUCACCGAAGUUAAGCAACGUCGAGCCUGGUCAAUAGCUAGAUGGGUGACCGCUUGAGUAUGCCAGGCGCUGUAAG